rnacentral:rRNA from 1 species
ACGAACGCUGGCGGCGUGCUUAACACCUGCAAGUCGAACGGUGAAGCGCCUUCCUUUUUGGUGGGUGUGGAUGAGUGGCGAACGGGUGAGUAACACGUGAGUAACCUGCCCCCUUCUUCUGGAUAACCGCAUGAAAGUGUGGCUAAUACGGGAUAUUCUGGGUCUGUCGCAUGAUGGGUCUGGGAAAGAUAUUGUUUCGGUGGGGGAUGGGCUCGCGGCCUAUCAGCUUGUUGGUGGGGUGAUGGCCUACCAAGGCGGUGACGGGUAGCCGGCCUGAGAGGGUGGACGGUCACACUGGGACUGAGACACGGCCCAGACUCCUACGGGAGGCAGCAGUGGGGAAUAUUGCACAAUGGGCGCAAGGCUGAUGCAGCGACGCCGCGUGAGGGAUGGAGGCCUUCGGGUUGUGAACCUCUUUCGCCAGUGAAGCAGGCCUGCCUCGUUUGUGGGUGGGUUGACGGUAGCUGGAUAAGAAGCGCCGGCUAACUACGUG